GAUGAACGCUAGCGGCAGGCUUAACACAUGCAAGUCGAGGGGUAACAGAGGUGCUUGCACUUGCUGACGACCGGCGAACGGGUGCGUAACGCGUAUAGAAUCUACCUCUUACUAAGGGAUAGCCCAGAGAAAUUUGGAUUAAUAUCUUAUAGUAUGUUGACUUGGCAUCAAGAUAACAUUAAAGGUUACGGUGAGAGAUGACUAUGCGUCCUAUUAGCUAGAUGGUGUGGUAACGGCACACCAUGGCAACGAUAGGUAGGGGCCCUGAGAGGGGGAUCCCCCACACUGGUACUGAGACACGGACCAGACUCCUACGGGAGGCAGCAGUGAGGAAUAUUGGACAAUGGAGGCAACUCUGAUCCAGCCAUGCCGCGUGCAGGAAGACUGCCCUAUGGGUUGUAAACUGCUUUUAUACAGGAAGAAACACCUCUACGUGUAGAGGCUUGACGGUACUGCAAGAAUAAGGAUCGGCUAACUCCGUGCCAGCAGCCGCGGUAAUACGGAGGAUCCAAGCGUUAUCCGGAAUCAUUGGGUUUAAAGGGUCCGUAGGUGGAUAAUUAAGUCAGAGGUGAAAUCCUGCAGCUUAACUGUAGAAUUGCCUUUGAUACUGGUUAUCUUGAGUUGUUAUGAAGUAGUUAGAAUAUGUAGUGUAGCGGUGAAAUGCAUAGAUAUUACAUAGAAUACCAAUUGCGAAGGCAGAUUACUAAUAAUAUACUGACACUGAUGGACGAAAGCGUGGGGAGCGAACAGGAUUAGAUACCCUGGUAGUCCACGCCGUAAACGAUGGUCACUAGCUGCUCGAAUUUCGGUUUGAGUGGCUAAGCGAAAGUGAUAAGUGACCCACCUGGGGAGUACGUUCGCAAGAAUG
rnacentral:rRNA from 1 species